rnacentral:rRNA from 1 species
UACGUAGGGGGCGAGCGUUGUUCGGAUUUACUGGGCGUAAAGGGUGCGUAGGCGGUCGGGUAAGUCUGGUGUGAAAUCUUCGAGCUUAACUCGGAAACUGCAUUGGAUACUAUUCGGCUAGAGAGUUGGAGGGGGGAUUGGAAUACUUGGUGUAGCAGUGAAAUGCGUAGAUAUCAAGUGGAACACCAGUGGCGAAGGCGAAUCCCUGGACAACUUCUGACGCUGAGGCACGAAAGCUAGGGGAGCAAACAGG